UGCCUAACACAUGCAAGUCGAACGAUCCCUUCGGGGAUAGUGGCGCACGGGUGCGUAACGCGUGGGAAUCUGCCCUUGGGUUCGGAAUAACAGUUAGAAAUGACUGCUAAUACCGGAUGAAGUCUUCGGACCAAAGAUUUAUCGCCCAGGGAUGAGCCCGCGUAGGAUUAGGUAGUUGGUGAGGUAAAGGCUCACCAAGCCGACGAUCCUUAGCUGGUCUGAGAGGAUGAUCAGCCACACUGGGACUGAGACACGGCCCAGACUCCUACGGGAGGCAGCAGUGGGGAAUAUUGGACAAUGGGCGCAAGCCUGAUCCAGCAAUGCCGCGUGAGUGAUGAAGGCCUUCGGGUCGUAAAGCUC
rnacentral:rRNA from 1 species